UAGCCCCCAUAAGGCCCCAUAGGCCCCAUAAGGGCCCACAGCCUCCAUAGCCCCAUAGGACCCCAUAGCCCCAUAAGGCCCCACAGCCCCCAUAGCCCCAUAAGGCCCCAGAGCCGCCCCAUAGGGCCCCAUAGCCCCAUAAGGCCCCACAUCCCAUAGCCCCCAUAAGGCCCCACAGCCGCCCCAUAGGGCCCCAUAGACCCCAUAACCGCCAUAGCCCCCCCACACCCCAUAGCCCCAUAAGGCCCCACAACCCCAUAAGGCCCCACAGCCCCCAUAGCCCCAUAAGGCCCCACAGCCCCCAUAAGGCCCCACAGCCCCCCCAUAAGGCCCCAUAGCCCCAUAAGGUCCCACAGCCCCCAUAGUCCCCAUAAGGCCCCAUAAGCCCUAUAAGGCCUCAUAGCCCCCCCACACCCCAUAGCCCCACAAGGCCCCACAGCCCCCAUAGUCCCUAUAGGGCCCCAUAACCCCCAUAGCCCCCCCACACCCCACAGCCCCAUAAGGCCGCCCCAUAAGGCCCCACAGCCCCAUAAUG
rnacentral:lncRNA from 1 species